rnacentral:rRNA from 1 species
AGUGAUUGGUAGAGGAGCAUUCUUAAGACCGACGAAGCUGUACCGGAAGGAGCAGUGGAGGGAUAAGAAGAGAGAAUGCCGGAAUGAGUAGCGAGAGAGAGGUGAGAAUCCUCUCGGCCGAAUAUCCAAGGUUUCCAGAGUAAAGCUGAUCUGCUCUGGGUAAGUCGGGGCCUAAGGAGAGGUCGAAAGACGUAUCCGAUGGACAACAGGUUUAGAUUCCUGUACCACAUAUGAACAGAACUGUGGGGACGCAUGUGGAGAGCACGAGCCGGGAAUGGAAAUACCGGUACAAGCGGAGAAGGAGUCUGGUUGGCAAAUCCGCCAGGCAAUCCGAAGACGUGAUGUGGAGCGAAUUAAAGUAGCGAAGCGUGUGAGCCAUGUGCCGAGAAAAGCCGCUAUUGUUUCAUGUGUGCCCGUACCGUAAACCGACACAGGUGGAUGAGGAGAGAAUCCUAAGGCCGGCGGAAGAAGCAUUGUUAAGGAACUCGGCAAAAUGACCCCGUAACUUCGGGAGAAGGGGUGCCUGCUAACGCAGGCCGCAGAGAAUAGGCUCAAGCAACUGUUUAGCAAAAACACAGGUCUAUGCGAAACCGAAAGGUGAAGUAUAUGGGCUGACGCCUGCCCGGUGCUGGAAGGUUAAGAGGAGAGGUUAGCGCAAGCGAAGCUUUGAAUUUAAGCCCCAGUAAACGGCGGCCGUAACUAUAACGGUCCUAAGGUAGCGAAAUUCCUUGUCGGGUAAGUUCCGACCCGCACGAAAGGCGUAAUGAUUUGAGCACUGUCUCGACAAUGCAUCCGGUGAAAUUGAAGUACCAGUGAAGAUGCUGGUUACCCGCGCCAGGACGGAAAGACCCCAUGGAGCUUUACUCCAGUUUGGUACUGGGAUUCGGUACUGCAUGUACAGGAUAGGUGGGAGACUAAGAACUUGGGACGCCAGUUUCAAGGGAGUCGCUGUUGGGAUACCACCCUUGCAGUAUUGGAUUUCUAACCAGCCGCCGUGAUCCGGCGGUGGGACAAUGCCAGGCGGGGAGUUUGACUGGGGCGGUCGCCUCCGAAAGGGUAUCGGAGGCGCUCAAAGGUUCCCUCAGAAUGGUUGGAAACCAUUUGAAGAGUGCAAAGGCAGAAGGGAGCUUGACUGCGACACCGACGGGUGGAGCAGGUA